AAGGGGCUCCCCAGGGAAUCAUUCCCAGAGCAUUCCUUGUUAUUCCCAGUGCAUUCCCUGCUAUUCCCUGAGCAUUCCAUUAUUCCCAGAGUAUUCCCUGUUAUUCCCAGUGCAUUCUCUGUUAUUCCCAGAGCAUUCCAUUAUUCCCAGUGCAUUCCCUGCUGUUCCCAGUGCAUUCCUUGUUAUUCCCAGAUCAUUCCAUUAUUCCCAGUGCAUUCCCUGCUGUUCCCAGUGCAUUCCCUGCUGUUCCCAGAGCAUUCCCUGCUGUUCCCAGUGCAUUCCCUGUUAUUCCCAGUGCAUUCCUUGUUAUUCCCAGAGCAUUCCCUGUUAUUCCCAGUGCAUUCCCUGCUGUUCCCAGAGCAUUCCCUGCUAUUCCCAGAGCAUUCCCUGCUGUUCCCAGUGCAUUCCAUUCCAUUAUUCCCAGAGCAUUCCCUGUUAUUCCCAGUGCAUUCCCUGUUAUUCCCAGAGCAUUCCCUGUUAUUCCCAGUGCAUUCCUUGUUAUUCCCAGUGCAUUCCCUGUUAUUCCCAGAGCAUUCCCUGCUGUUCCCAGAGCAUUCUCUGUUAUUCCCAGAGCAUUCCAUUAUUCCCAGUGCAUUCCCUGUUAUUCCCAGUGCAUUCCCUGUUAUUCCCAGAGCAUUCCAUUAUUCCCAGAGCAUUCCCUGUUAUUCCCAGUGCAUUCCCUGCUGUUCCCAGAGCAUUCCCUCUUAUUCCCAGAGUAUUCCCUGCUGUUCCCAGAGCAUUCCCUGUUAUUCCCAGUGCAUUCCCUGCUGUUCCCAGAGCAUUCCCUGUUAUUCCCGGAGCGUUCCUGAGCCGCGCUGCCGUGCCAUCGUGAGUCACGUUUGUCACAUGCCGCUGUCCCCGGAGCAGCAGCGGGUGUGGGGGAGUGCUGGCUGUGCCACUUGGGAACAUCCAGACUUUUUCCUCGGCGUUUGUGGCAGCGGGAGCAGCGGGAAUUCGGGAUGCUGCUGGAGGAGGGGCUGGCUGAGCCUGUCCCCAGCCCGGCUGGAGGGUGCUGGGUGCUGGCAGGAAGCCGUCCUGAGAUUCCUGAGGUUUUUGCAGAGGAGAAUCAGCUGGAAAAGCAGCAGCAGGAAUGGGGAGUGCACACGGGGAUGA
rnacentral:lncRNA from 1 species